rnacentral:rRNA from 1 species
UACGAAGGGGGCUAGCGUUGCUCGGAAUUACUGGGCGUAAAGGGCGCGUAGGCGGAUAUCUAAGUUGGGGGUGAAAUCCCGGGGCUCAACCUCGGAAUUGCCUUCAAAACUGGGUAUCUUGAGUUCGGGAGAGGUGAGUGGAACUGCGAGUGUAGAGGUGAAAUUCGUAGAUAUUCGCAAGAACACCAGUGGCGAAGGCGGCUCACUGGCCCGGUACUGACGCUGAGGUGCGAAAGCGUGGGGAGCAAACAGG